UAAGGCAGCUUCCGGUUUUCAUAUCACUACUAAAAAGAAUUGCAAUUGCUUCGAAAAUUUGCGACAGAAAAUUUUUCCGUCGCAAAAGGUCAACUUUCGCGACGGCGUAUGCUACGCCUAUUUUGCCGUAGUAUAUUUUGGAGUUUCUGCGACGGAUAUAAUGUUCCCGUCGUAUAAUUAAAACCAAUUGCAACACUUUAGCCCUGCCGUCGCGUGAAUUAUUAGGAAAAAAGAGAAGAAAACUAGAUGGAGUCUGGACGUGUGGCCACACUCUUCGAUCUUCUUCUCCUCCUCUCUCUCUGCUCUUUUUCGUCUCCUCUUCGAUGACCACCCUGAACAUAACCACCUCUCUUAUUUCCUUACUCAAUCUCUCUAUAGAUAUGGUGGUCGUGGAAUCACUGGGAUGGCUGACGGAAUCGACUAUAAUGCCCAAGAAGCACCGCGCCAUCGCCGGCAUCGGCAUCAUCAUCACCGCCGCCGUCACUCUUUCUCCGGAUCUGAAAUCUAAGCCUCCGAGUAGUACCGAAUCAUUGAAUCGGUGCUCUGCAAGCAAUUCCGAAUUUCAAAGGUUUUUGAGGUUGGUAAACUUUCAGAGGCUGAAGCGCGAAGCUUGGAAGAGCUUCGGGAUUAAACCCUAGGUCGAUUUAGUAAGCAUUCUCUUUCAGAUUUCAUGUGGAAGCUGUUAGGUUUCUGUAUUUUGUGGGCAUUUUGGUCGUUGAUUGGUUCAAUUUCACGAUUACUGUUUUCAUUUCGAUUUUUGAAAUUGAGCAAUUUUGGUACUUCAUACAAAUGAAUGAAUGGUGCUUCAGAAAUUGAUGAGUAUUUGAUUUUUAUCCUUGAGAGUGAAAUUUCAGAUUGCAUUUUCAACAAUGUUGCUAUGGAUGAGCGGUUUAAGGAGGAAAGUGAAUAUUGUAAGUGUCAUUUGCACCCCUAAUAAAAGCAGCGCCUUCUUCGUCUCUCCACCCCUAAUAGCAAAAUAUCAUCCUCUACCUCGACUCUUAGAGCUGCCGCGUUCUCCAUCAGUUUGGAUCUCUUCUAUCCAUUUAUGGUAGUUUCUGGUAUAACGAAACAAGAAGAAUGGGUUUAGGUGUUCAUUAAGUGGGGUCAGAUGCAGAGAAUGGAACAUACGUUCUCCUUGAACAUGAGGAAAAUGGCUUAAGUAACCGAUACGAAAACUAUGUUCUCCCAGUAGCAGUCAAAUGCAGUUAUGUCUUUCAAGCUAUAUUCCAGGUCUUGGUUUUUUUCUUCUUCCUUUUUUUCCCCCAAUAAUUAGUCAAUGCAUUAGCUCUGAUGCUAAUAAGUUCAUUGUAGCUCUCUUCUUGCAAAAUUGUCUAUUCAUAUUGAACUAAACGUGAAGAUGUUGAUCUGGUGCCUGAUUCCAAAUUCUAACAAGGUACUCUGCUUUUAAAUUUUCUGCAAUUUUUUGUUUUGUGUGGUUUAUCUUUCAAAUGAGUGAUCUGGGGUUUUGUUUUUAUUGGACUGAUAAGGCUUCGAUGCUGGAUGAAGCAGUUGAGUAUUUGAAGCAGCUCCAGCUUCAAGUACAGUUUGCAUAGUUGUGGAUUUUGGGUUUUCAGAGGGGAGAAAGGAAGAAACAGAAGAAGGGGGAGACGGGAAGGACAGAAGAGGCAGGGAAAUCCAAAAGACGAGAAGAACUGCUCUACUUCACAGAUUCAAGGAUAUGUCUGCUGGAACAAGGAACAACUUUGAAAACAAGUUUUGGGCCAAAAGCCAAGAUAGUGGCAGCAUCCAUUCAUUUUAUGAUGUCGGUGCUAAUCCACUUGACAAACAAGUAUCAAUAUCAAAAUCUGACAAGAGGAGGCGAUUAAUGUUAGAGGGUACCGUUGGUAGCAGUAUUCAAGGUGAUCACUGAUAUUUAAAUCUUUCUACAAAUCAAUUACAACAUGCGAGACAAUGUAUACUAAAUAAUUACAGGUCAUGUUUGUAACAAAUGAAAUGGCAUUCAUACCUUUCCAAGUGUAAUCAUCAUCUCCAAAUUUGGUUACUGUUCAUCAUCAUUUCAAUUUAUGAUAUUUGCUGCA